rnacentral:tRNA from 1 species
GUCUCCGUAGCUCAGUUGGAUAGAGCAUCCGCCUCCUAAGCGGAAGGCCGCGCGUUCGAGUCGCGCCGGGGACGCCA